GUGGCUGUAGCUCAAUGGCAGAGCACUGCUCUGUGGAAGCAGGGGUUGCGGGUUCGAUCCCCGUCAGCCACCCCA
rnacentral:tRNA from 2 species